rnacentral:rRNA from 1 species
CCGCCCGUGAGAAUGCCCACAAUUCCCUGCUUGGGAAUGAGGAGCCGGUAUCAGGCACGCCCCCGCUCGGCCCACGACACCUUGCUUAGCCACACCCUCAAGGGAAUCCAGCAGUGAUAAACAUUAAGCUAUAAGUGAAAACUUGACUUAGUUAAAGCUAAGAAGGCCGGUAAAACUCGUGCCAGCCACCGCGGUUAUACGAGAGGCCUAAGUUGACAGACAGCGGCGUAAAGAGUGGUUAAGGAAAACACAAAACUAAAGCCGAACGCCUUCAGAACUGUCAUACGUUUUCGAAGGUAUGAAGCCCAACCACGAAAGUGGCUUUAUCCCCCCCCCCCUGAACCCACGAAAGCUAAGAAACAAACUGGGAUUAGAUACCCCACUAUGCUUAGCCCUGAACAUUGAUCGUUUAUUACACCAAACAUCCGCCUGGGAAUUACGAACACCAGUUUAAAACCCAAAGGACUUGGCGGUGCUUAACAUCCACCUAGAGGAGCCUGUUCUAGAACCGAUAACCCCCGUUUAACCUCACCCUCUCUUGUUUUUCCC